rnacentral:rRNA from 1 species
UACGUAGGGUGCGAGCGUUGUCCGGAUUUAUUGGGCGUAAAGAGCGUGUAGGCGGCCUGAAAGGUCAGCUGUGAAAACUCGAGGCUCAACCUCGAGACGUCGGUUGAAACCAUCUGGCUAGAGUCCGGAAGAGGAUGGUGGAAUUCCCGGUGUAGCGGUGAAAUGCGUAGAGAUCGGAAGGAACGUCGAUGGCGAAGGCAGCCACCUGGCAUAAUACUGACGCUGAGGCGCGAAAGCGUGGGGAGCGAACAGG